AUGGUAACUGCUGCUUAAAUGUGAGCCCCACAUGUCUUAGAUUCUCUGUUGACGCUCUGUUCAAACCUGCUGUUAACAUCCGACCUGAGCGAUCCGAUCACACGUGUUCAGAUUACACCUGCUACUGCUGCUAAUGUGACGUCACUGCUCCUCAGUAAACACACGAUCACCGUCUAACCAUCAGGUGCAGGAGGACCUGGCUGACCUGGAGGAGGACGAGGAGCAGCACGGACAAAUGUGUGGUAACUGAUGCUUAAAAAUGAUCCACACAUUUAUUAGAUGUUCUGUUGAUGCUCUGUUCACACCUGCUGUUAACAUCUGAUCCGAGUCAUCCGAUCACAGUUGUUCAGAUUACACCUGCUACUGCUAUUGCUAAUAUCACGUCAAAUGAUGAUUCUCAAAUGUCUUUUUUUAUCCACCAACCAAAAAUUAUUCAGUUUUAAUUCCUUCUUUGUUACAAGGAACAAUGAAACCAGAAAAAGUUCAACAUUUAUAAUAAAAAACAAACAAUUAAUCCAUUAUUAAAGUAUUUGACAAUUCAUUUAGUUAUCGUUUAAUAAUGCUGUAAUCGUUGCAUCCCUACUUUAUAUAUAUAUUUUUUUUAAAUCAUCAGAGACAUCAUAUGAUUUAUUGCGAUACUUGCAAAAUCAUACAUUGUGAUACAUUGUGAUACACUGACACAACAGUGACCACUUGGCACCAUCUAGUGGACUGAAAGGUUCAUUUAUUUUGUUUAUUUGUAAUGCUAAUCCACAAAAAAGUUUGACGUUUAUUUAUAACAUCAGUUCAAAACAUUGUUAUGGAACAAACCAUGACUCUUUCACCUGUCAUUUCAUCACCUCACACGGACGAUGUUAACAGCACUUGUCAACAGAGCCUCUGUUUAAUGUGUGCACAUCAUUUUUACAUUGUUAACAGGUGAAAACUAGGGACCACUCAAAGUCACAAAAUUCUAUCAAUAAAUACACCAUUCAAUAAUGA